ACAUCAUAGCUGGGGAACAGGGAUUCACAAGACCCAGGCUGUUCCCUACAUAUUUUUCCUCCUCAGACAUCAGUUCAUCAGUCAAUCAAGUCAUGUGAGAGUGGAGGCCAUGUAUUCCGUAUUCUUGGGCACUCUCCUCCAAGGAGGAAAAGGCCAGGAGGUCCUGUUAGAGGAUGCACUCUGAGAGGCCGGGCUCCCUAAGGUGUGAGAGUUCUAACCAGCAGGUGUAGACUUUUCAGGAGUGAGGAAUGAGGCAGGCAUUCCAAACCUGGAGCUUCAUCACCUUUUGUUUCAUCUCAAGACAAUUCUGAGGGGCUGUUUUGGAACGUGUCUGGAAGGUGAACGUUGAAGAAGAGUGUGGGCUUUGAUGUGACUCAGAUAAGAUCUUUCAUGGGGAGGCAGGAAUUUAAUGCCCAGAAUCUGGGCUGGUGUCUUUGAGGUCAGUGGGUUGCCUUUUUGUAUCCAAGUCCAUUGUUACUAGGUUGGAGGCUGGAGAUUCUAAAUGGCUUCCAGACCGCCUCUCUGAUUCUCUUUUGGAGAUGGGGUCUGAAAAAGACAAUGUCAGUAUUUUUGGGAAAUUCUGGAAAGUCUGUUUGGAAACCUGUGAAGACCUCUUGCCUAGUGCCUAAAUGCUCAAUGUGCAGCUCUAGCCACGUAGAUGUUUGGUAGGUAUAGAGCUGGGUUUGCAUUUAUAUCAGCAAAACCUAUGGCAGAGUUGAAGAAGUAAUCAGGACAAAGUGUCUUGGUCGCAGGCCAGAGAACAUCUUAAAAGCAAACUUCUAGCCUGCUGACUCUUGGCAAUGAGUGUUGGGUCCUGGCCAAAGUGCCUUGAAUGCAGCAUGAAGCCAAUCCAUAAAUCCAACUUCUAAUGGAGAAAUGUUAAUAUUUUUUCAGUUUGAAUCAAUCAGGGUGAAAUUACCAUGCUAUUGGUUUGUUUACUUUUUAUUAUUUCAUAUAAAAUCUAAGACAAAAUACAUUAAACGCUUAUUGACAUAUGUAUUUAUUCUUCACCUGGCUCAUAACAUUUGCCUAAUUUUAAACUUUCUUCUAUUAUGUAGGUUUCAACUUAUUUUAUUGUAAGAUAUUGUUAAAUCUAAUACAGGCAUUGUCACCUUUACAUGUAAUUUUAUUUUAUUUCAUAUAUUUCCUAUUCGCUUUCUACAUUUAAAUUAUGGACUGUUUCAUCAUAUAAAAAGCUUCAUUUCUAUUUUAAAAAUAAUUCUUUGGGUUUUUUUGUCUUGUAAUUUCCAUAUUACAUAGUAAUGAGAUAAACAUUAAUGUUUCCAGGGUAUUUAAAUUUUAGAUAAUUACUCAUUGUAUCCAUGUGAAAUUUGUUUUUACUGCAUGUGUGGGUUGGAGAACUGUUUUCUCUUCUGAUUCGUCUUUACUGUGAUCUCCUCAGAACUCAUACCUCUCGUAGUUGGGGGAUUGCAGUUUAGAAUUCCAAUAAAUGGGGCAAAUUCAACAAUAACAUAAUACAAAUGAGUUUAAAGGAGGACAUGUCUUCAAAGCAUACACAACAUGGGCCUACAUAUGUAUACCAAUAAUAAUUUAUAAGUUACAGUUUGGAUGGAAAGUAAAAGUACAGAAAAUUUGUUAAAGUAAAUUAAAAUGGAGAUCAUGUCUCAAUAAUCUCUGAGCAGACAAAGUUAGUUAGGUCUCAUAAGUGAUCUCGAUCUUGCUUGAUUUGCAAAUAAAAGCAAAACUUAAAUUAUUUCUUGUAGCUGCAUAUUUAAAAAAGAGAAAUGAAGCUCAACCAAUCAGGAGUAGCCAACAACCUUAUAUAAAUAGAAACUGUCCAACAAGGUAAACAGACAAACAGAAAACAAUAAAAAAGUUGUGCUACCACCAAUUAAAUGAUUUAUUUGUUUCUACAUUUUUCCAAUAAAUACUUGCUUCUUACACAGUCAGUGAAGCACUAAAUAUCUUUUGGUCUGAUAUUUUAUAAUUUAUCAAUUGGUCUUUCUCAAAUAAACAUUUUACAAUUUCA
rnacentral:lncRNA from 1 species